rnacentral:rRNA from 1 species
GUUUGAUCAUGGCUCAGAUUGAACGCUGGCGGCAUGCCUAACACAUGCAAGUCGGAUGUGCCGCAAGGUGCAUGGCAGACGGGCGAGUAACGCGUGGGGAAUCUACCUUUUAGUGGGGAAUAACGAUCCGAAAGGAUUGGUAAUACCGCAUGAGAUCGUGGGCUGGGAUGCCUACGAUGAAACCCGGGGACCGCAAGGCCUGGGGCUAGAAGAGGAUCCUGCGUCUGAUUAGCUAGUUGGCGGGGUAACGGCCCACCAAGGCGACGAUCAGUAGCCGGCCUGAGAGGGUGAUCGGCCACACUGGAACUGAGACACGGUCCAGACUCCUACGGGAGGCAGCAGUGGGGAAUUUUGCGCAAUGGGCGAAAGCCUGACGCAGCAACGCCGCGUGGGUGAUGAAGGUCUUCGGACUGUAAAACCCUGUC